UACGAAGGGGGCUAGCGUUGUUCGGAAUUACUGGGCGUAAAGCGCGCGCAGGCGGCUAUCCAAGUCAGUGGUGAAAGCCCGGAGCUCAACUCCGGAACUGCCAUUGAAACUGUUUAGCUUGAGGACGAGAGAGGUGAGUGGAAUUCCCAGUGUAGAGGUGAAAUUCGUAGAUAUUGGGAGGAACACCGGUGGCGAAGGCGGCUCCCUGGUCCGAUCCUGACGCUCAUGUGCGAAAGCGUGGGGAGCAAACAGG
rnacentral:rRNA from 1 species